rnacentral:antisense_RNA from 1 species
AGCCCUCAGCGUACAUGCCAGCUAAUUACAGAUGCAGGAGCAAACCCCUGGCCCAUACAUCAAUUUUAAUGUCAUUGAAUACAGAGAACAAAUCUCAUUCAUUUUGGUAUCGGCUCAAGUCAACAAACAUUUAAAAAUCAUUUACUGCAUCUGAUUUUGGAUGAGGAAAUUAACUGAGAAAGAAGAUACAAGACCUGCCAAAUUCUUUUUUUUUUGUUUUGUUUGAGACAGAGUCUCACUCUGUCGCCCACGCUGUAGUGGCGCGAUCUCGGCUCACUGCAACCUCCACCUCCUGGGUUCAAGCGAUUCUCCUGCCUCAGCCUCCUGAGUAGCUGGGCUUACAGGCAUGCGCCACCAUGCCCAGCUAAUUUUUGUAUUUUUAAUAGAGACGGGGUUUUGCCACACUGGCCAGGCUAGUCUCGAACCCCUGACCUCAGGUGAUCUACCCACCUUGGCCUCCCAAAGUGCUGGGAUUACAGAAGUGAGCCACUGUGCCCAGCCUGACCUGUCAAAUUCUUGUCAAACUCAACUUCAUGUAACACUGAACUGUAACUAUCAAGUUAGAAUAUUUUUUUCAUUUGUUUGCAUAUAUAUAGACUUCAUUAAUCUUAAUUUAGUGAUCUCAGUUAAGAAGCAAUCUGAAAUAUGUUUUGCUUUCACUUUUGGAAAAAAGUCUGAAAUAGAAGUAAAUA